rnacentral:rRNA from 1 species
CGGAACCUCGCGCGAUUGGAGCGGCCGAUGUCGGAUUAGCUAGUAGGUGAGGUAAAGGCUCACCUAGGCGACGAUCCGUAGCGGGUCUGAAAGGAUGAUCCGCCACACUGGGACUGAGACCGGCCCAGACUCCUACGGAAGGCAGCAGUGGGGAAUUUUGGACAAUGGGCGCAAGCCUGAUCCAGCCAUGCCGCGUGAGUGAAGAAGGCCUUCGGGUUGUAAAGCUCUUUCGGCCGGGAAAAAAUCGUGGUCUCUAACAUAGGCCAUGGAUGACGGUACCGGAAUAAGAAGCACCGGCUAACUACGUGCCAGCAGCCGCGGUAAUACGUAGGGUGCGAGCGUUAAUCGGAAUUACUGGGCGUAAAGCGUGCGCAGGCGGUUUUGUAAGACAGAUGUGAAAUCCCCGGGCUUAACCUGGGAACUGCGUUUGUGACUGCAAGGCUAGAGUACGGCAGAGGGGGGUGGAAUUCCUGGUGUAGCAGUGAAAUGCGUAGAGAUCAGGAGGAACACCGAUGGCGAAGGCAGCCCCCUGGGCCUGUACUGACGCUCAUGCACGAAAGCGUGGGGAGCAAACAGGAUUAGAUACCCUGGUAGUCCACGCCCUAAACGAUGUCGACUAGUCGUUCGGAGCAGCAAUGCACUGAGUGACGCAGCUAACGCGUGAAGUCGACCGCCUGGGGAGUACGGCCGCAAGGUUAAAACUCAAAGGAAUUGACGGGGACCCGCACAAGCGGUGGAUGAUGUGGAUUAAUUCGAUGCAACGCGAAAAACCUUACCUACCCUGACAUGUC